rnacentral:rRNA from 1 species
UACGUAGGCAGCGAGCGUUGUUCGGAGUUACUGGGCGUAAAGGGUGUGUAGGCGGUUGCUUAAGUUUGGUGUGAAAUCUCCCGGCUCAACUGGGAGGGUGCGCCGAAUACUGAGUGACUCGAGUGCGGGAGAGGAGAGUGGAAUUCCUGGUGUAGCGGUGAAAUGCGUAGAUAUCAGGAGGAACACCGGUGGUGUAGACGGCUCUCUGGACCGUAACUGACGCUGAGGCACGAAAGCGUGGGGAGCAAACAGG